UUGGCAUUUUCCAUUGCAAGUUUCUCAAGAAGCUUGCCAAGCCAAACCCUCCAUAAUGUGACUGGAAUUGUUUUAAAGCUAUGUAACUGUCUUGGGCAGCAACGAAGAACCAGUGCUUUGCCUGGUCUCGCAAAAAUACUUGAAGAGAGCUUCUUUUCCAGCUAUGAACUCUUGGGUAUGCCCCAAGAGUUACGAUUACUCCGUUGAGCAGUGCUCCGGGUAACGAAAAAACUUAGUCGCCACUACAAAGCUUAGCGCUGAUCCUCGGAUCAGCUGCUGCCCCUACAAAACCUUUCACUUACUAGGGGCAUCCUUGGUCUGUUCAACAGUCCAAGAAGAAGCUUUGUAGUGAGCUGAAGAAAGGUAUUGGUUCAUUCAAAGUAGAUCCAUUAAGUAGAAGAAGUUGUGCUAUACGCGAUCCCCUCGACCAGAAGUCAGAGAGAGCCCUGGAAGAAUUCCCGGGCGAUGAUCUCGUAAACAGAAGCUCAGAGCCGUUAGGUGAUGACGAGCAGUACCAUUCGUGGGAAGACAAAAUCGCGAGUCUGAUAUUGGGGAUUGUCAGAUGAUGACCGAAAAUCAAGACUCAGAAGUUUAUCAUUGAAGAAAACGAUGUUGAGCAACCCGAGUCAAUCGAGCGAUAGUAACAACAUCUUCAAAAACUGGCUCUAACUUGAAAGGAUCAUAUAUACUGCCCGAAUGUGGGAAGGAUGAGGUCAAUCCUCAAGGUCAUUUGAAAUGAUUCGUUUUUUAAAAAAUAGACGUGGGAAUUUUCCGAAAUUUGUGAAUGAUUUUAGUUCGUAGUUCACAAAGGUAAACUUAUAGUUAAAUUAGUACUUAAAAUUAAUAUCUUUAAUCAAAACAUGUACAAAAACUUAGCUUAAAAACUAUCCUGGUAGGGCCACCGGUCACCAUAUAGCGUCAUCCUUCAAUGUAGUCCGUCUUGUAUACCUAAAAGCAAAUACAAAGCAUUAAAAUCCAAUAAUCAUCUUAUUAAUAGUUGGAGCGAUACUUGCCUAAAACUUGAUCCUCCCAGAACAUCUCCAUCCAACCGACAAAGGCUUCUUCAAAGGCAGGUCGUCCAUUCAGGCUUCCGUCCAGUCCUGCGAGGGUCCAGUUCGCCGUGCCUCGGCUUGCCUCCGUCAUUCGUCGACUCGUUUUCCGCCGUAGUCGAAUCUAAACCACAAUAUAAAGAAAAUAAACCAUUACUUACAGUUUUGUAGAUACUUUCUCAAGUUUUUCUAAUAGUUUAGGCCAUUUUCCGUCCGUAUUUUGCUGCAAAAUUACCUAAAAACUUUCACAAAUUUUCGUCGCACUGCACUUUUCAAUGUUUACAUUUUACUUUGACGUUUCUCUGAGUAAGUGGGUGUUUCAGUAUAUGAGUGUCGUGAGUGUCCGAAGAGAAUUUUCUCUGAGUGACGUAAUAGAGUUGGUCUUGUGUAUUUCUCAUUUAUUAAUUUUUCGUGAGAGCCGGGGUAGAGCAUCGGCAUUUGGAGCAUUUUUGAAUGUUUGUUUGGGAGAAUUGUGGGGAGAAUUCACGUUUUAUACACGUCUAUUGACGAGAGCCGGGGUGUACUCUGGUGUGUCAAUACAUGUUGUGUGUAAAUUAUUGUGGUUGUAUUGCGUUUUAUCAUACACAGAGGCGCAAAUCCAAGUAACAGGCUUGGAGGGUUUCUGUGAGAUGAAACAGUUGCGGAGAAUUCAGAUGCGGAGCGUAGUACCAGCGAUGAGGAUUGGUGUGCUUCGAGUCUGGAUGAUCCUGUUUAUUGAUGUUAUGUGCGGUUGUAUCGGAGAGAGGCAGUUAAUCGACAGCAAGGUUCGAUGUAUGUUUCUCUCCAUGUGUACCUGUUAUAUGUAAGUUUACGUUCAUUGAGAUGUUCGAGAAACUAUCUCAAUGGUGUGUUGUUAUGGUUGGCUUCUGCUGAGACUGUGAGGUGUCUGCAGUAAUGCCGUUUUAAGAUUUGUUAUGGUUUGAGAAUUUGUUGGUGUCUGUACUCACACUUGCUCAGAGAACGUUGAAUGGCUCGUAGAAAUCUUCUUUGGGAUGAACCUAUAUUUUGUAAAUAUUUUUGUAUGAUGUAUAGAGUAAUAAUUUUUGAAAUAUUUUGAAUGUGAUAUAUGUUGAAUAGGUUAGGAACCCGGAUAAAUAUUGAAAUUAUGAAAAUAAACUAAACUUAUAAGGGAUUGAAGUAACAAGAAAAAAUGAAUUUGUACAUAAUAUUCACAUUGCAAAAUUUACCACUACGAAAAUUUGGUUUAAGUGCUUAAACCAAAUUUUCGUAAAAUAGCCCUGGUGCAAUGUAGCGGUCAGGAGAAUUUGUAUAUAUUUUUGUAAGAUAAGUCUGUAAAUAUUCGAAAUAAGAUAGAUUGUAAGGAAAUGCGAUCUAUCUAUGAUAAUUUGAAUUUGUAAAUAUCCCUUAGUUUAGGCAAACGAAAAGACAUCAAUUAACAAACGCUUCCCGAGGUCGAGGCCAUUUGUUUUCUGGAUAAGGUGGGAAAGGGAAAGCAGCACGACUAUCGGUCAAGUUAUCCGCAUAGCGGUGUAGUCACGAUUGAACACGAAGGGUUUCGGGAAAUGACGUACUUCCGGGUACGUCCGAGAUUCACUUUCCCUUAUCUGAGGCUUCUUAGACUCGCUCAUUUCGUCCGUGAUAACGCAAAGAGUUGGAAGUGUCCGCGUUUGUGAGUUAGUCUUUCGUGUACCAAAAGUAGGUUUAAGUGAUGUUAAAUGUAGUUAAACAGUUUAAUCUGGUGUUUCGUUCCAUAGUAGGUCAGGAAAAGUGUGCGUAAGAACUGUGUGCGAUUGAGAACAAUUAGAAAGCUCAAGAUAAGCUCGGGCUUCAAUCUUCAAUCCGCAGAUCUUCGCGCCAAGCGCGAUCACUUUCUUCCCCAACGGACGAGAGAUACCCGGCAACCGCUAAUCAGCCGGACGCGGACGGAUUCGUCAACACAUCGGUCCGAGAAGGCCCGGGGACCUUCAGGUGGACGAAGUCCACGAGCUGGUUCGCCAACUGAUCAGCAGGGCGUCAUCAACUACCCAGAAACCACCAUUGUGAAGAUCACGUCAAUCGCCAUCGCGAUCACGUGGAUACGAGCCGAUCAACGACCAACGACCGCCAUCAAUCAGCCAAGUCGCCGGUGAGUCAACGACCCGGCCUGCAGGUCAUCGACUGCGAAGGUGUGUAAGCAGAACCGAUCGGUGAGUCCAUCAUUCUUUUUUUUGUUGGGAAGUGCGGUGUCCGCUGAGGGCACCGCGGAGGAUCUUUUUUGCCAGUCAAAAGACUGAGUAUGAAGUGCUGAAAAGCCAAAACAACACCUCUUUUCGGAGAUCGGAUUUCCUUCCGACAGCGUCUUGGGGGACCAACGUCUUGGCCCCGUGAAAAUGCGUGCGUGAGCCCGUCUUCGCCACCACUGCAGGGAAGCUUCGUCACCAGGAGCGCAGACAAAUACGAAGCUGAGCUUCCAGCAAAUGUGACGUCACGAUACAGAGCACUGAGCACAGUUAGGAAGAGAGAGGGAGUGGCUAGGGAAAUCGCACACAUGCUAGGAGGUAGAAGAUAGAGAACGAACACAAAUACGAAUAAUGAAUUCGAAUUGAUGUAUACCCGUGAACAUGUAUGUCAUCUUAGGAAAUAAGUCAAUAUAGUCAUAUAAGCCAAUAUAUUCGUAUCCGUCUUAUUAGUAUCUGGAAUAAAUGUGUUUGAGUUUCCUUCCUAGCAAUUUGGUUGUUUAAAUGUAUUUAACAUCACUGCGCGUUUUGUUGUAGCUUCGUUUCGUUUGAUUGGGUUGUUUUAUGAGUGUCUUCCAGCUCAGUGAGGGAUCUGGUGGCGAGAAGAGAGAGUUCGCCAAUGAUGAGAACUU